AAAAUAUUAAAACGGAAUCCACUUUCGUUUUAUAUACAGUUGCUCUCGGUUUCUUGUUAGAUUUUUUUGGUCGUUUGACGGUUGCUUACUUGACUUGCAGUCGGAUGAGGCCAUGCAUGAAAAAUAGGAUUAAACAAUGAUAAAAAAACGCACUAGAAAACCAUAAAAAAAUUAUGAAAACAAACAGGACAAGUAGAAAUCACUGAGUAUUGAUAAUUGAAAAACAG
rnacentral:lncRNA from 1 species